AUGGCACUUCUAAAACAUGCAAGGGGAAAAACACCCAUGGGUGAAGGUUCAAAUGCUCAAAACUCAAACUCAUAUACUAAGAAAGUUCUCCCACCUCUGAAAUCAAGAAUGGUUUUGACAAAGUUCAAGCAAAGAAGUGUUUUCUUCCCAAGUAUGGUAAGCUUGAUACUUUUCCUUCCACUGGUUUUCAAUUUCCGGAAAUAUUUGAAUAUCAAUAUGUGGUAA